GUCUCUGUAGCUCAGUUGGUUAGAGUGCUGCACCAGAAUCACAGGACAGCAGGUUUGAUUCCUGCAAGAAGGACU